rnacentral:rRNA from 1 species
UUUAAUGAGAGUUUGAUCCUGGCUCAGGACGAACGCUGGCGGCGUGCCUAAUACAUGCAAGUAGAACGCUGAAGGAGGAGCUUGCUUCUCUGGAUGAGUUGCGAACGGGUGAGUAACGCGUAGGUAACCUGCCUGGUAGCGGGGGAUAACUAUUGGAAACGAUAGCUAAUACCGCAUAAGAGUGGAUGUUGCAUGACAUUUGCUUAAAAGGUGCACUUGCAUCACUACCAGAUGGACCUGCGUUGUAUUAGCUAGUUGGUGGGGUAACGGCUCACCAAGGCGACGAUACAUAGCCGACCUGAGAGGGUGAUCGGCCACACUGGGACUGAGACACGGCCCAGACUCCUACGGGAGGCAGCAGUAGGGA